ensembl:lncRNA
AUCAUUCAACUAAUCAUUUUCUGAAAAUUGUUGUCUGUCUUCGCAGAAAAAAGUUGUCUUUCUCUGUCCUACAUCUUCGGACCGAAAUUCCUUCUGACUGAGAGAAACCUGGUUAUUUUAUCCAACCUCCCGAAGUACGAUCCUCAGGACCCUUACACCGAGGAGGAGCUGGUGGAGAAGCUCACGCCAUUUGGUUUUAAACACGAACCGAGCAACAUCUACAUCGUCCCUCAGUGCAACAUGGCUUUUAUCACGAUGCCCGACGGUCGAGCGAUUCUGGAGCUGGUGAAAGCGUUUAUGAGGCCAGAUCCCAACGCGAUGUUCCGGGGCUGUGACCUUAUUCCCCACGUCAUCAACGAAGCAACGGUCGUCAUGACGCCGGCUUGGUUUUACUGGUAUGUGUCGCGGAUGUGCAAAUUUCACUGCGAAAACACCGCAGACAAACUGGUCUUCAUCACAGGUGUUUCUGACAGCGACGCUGUGGAACUCCGGAAAAAGCUGGAGAAGAUCGGAUCGGUCAAUAACUACCUGCCGCUGCUCAACAGGGUGUUUGUGGAGUUUGACUCAAGCCUCGACGCCGACAGACUCGGAGUUUACCACAGUCUCUUGAACAAAACUCCUUCGUACGAACUCAUCCGGCUGAAGAUCCCGUUGAGUCAAAGCAAAACUCUAGCUCCGUCUCAGGCGAUCAGAGCCGUGCCCCAGGGUUCAGAGAGGGCUCCGGGAGUUGUUGUCCCAAGGUCGAGCUUCGGGAUCCCCUUCGGAAGCAUCGGUCCGUUCUGGGUCACCAUGACGAACAAACCUUACUUCUACCCCACCAGGGCCCCCUGGUUCAUCAUCCCAGAUUACAAGACGCUGCCAUUGAAGAAAGGCAAAGCAAGGAAACUUUAUUUUCGUACACAAGGCAACUCAAUGCGCCUCAUGAGGAAGACCCCCAAUCAGCGCUUCCACGCAUUAAAUAAAAGAACCAUCAUGCUGACGCGUUUGCCUCCGGGCGACUACACUCACGAGGACGUGGCCCGGCUGGUUUGGACCUUUCUCCUGCGCAGAAACCUCCACUGUCUGUACUACGACGUCAUCGUGCUGCCUCUGCAGCGACGAGCGUUUAUAAACUUCUACACGGGGAAAAAUGCACAACUCGAUGAGAUGUUCUUCAACUACGGAGUGAUGCUGAAUGGGAUCCUGCUCCAGCCGCACUACAUCGACAGCAGCCUGUUCCCGCUGUCGUCAGAGGAGCAAAUGUACGCCACUUUUAUGAAGAUGAGCAACAAUCGAGCCCCGGUGAAGCUCGAGCUGGCUCAGCGGUUAAUCAGCGUCUUCGUGACAGAAGUUUCUCUCGAUGUGUUCCGACUUGUCAUUGAAGUCGUAACGUCCGCCGCCCCCAUCCUCGGCUUCCUGCCUCUGGCCAACAGGAUUUGCGUGGAGAUGCCUGUUGUCAGUGACGUGGCAAAGGUGAAGGAGAAAUUUUCCACCUACAAACCCGACGUCGACUGCAAGGAAAAGCUCUGGAGUAAAAUCCUACAUUUAGAGACUGCGUCUGAGUUAAAACAGCGUAUUAAAGACUCUGGGA